AUGGAGAGAUAUAGGGAGCAUAAGAAGGACUUGCAUAUGGUGUUCAUUGACUUGGAGAAGGCCUAUGAUAAGAUACCGCGGAAUGUCAUGUGGUGGGCCUUGGAGAAACACAAAGUCCCAGCAAAGUACAUUACCCUCAUCAAGGACAUGUACAAUAAUGUUGUGACAAGUGUUCGAACAAGUGAUGUCGACACUGAUGACUUCCCGAUUAAGAUAGGACUGCAUCAGGGGUCAGCUUUGAGCCCUUAUCUUUUUGCUUUGGUGAUGGAUGAGGUCACAAGGGGUAUACAAGGAGAUAUCCCAUGGUGUAUGCUCUUUGCGGAUGAUGUGGUGCUAGUUGACGAUAGUCGGACGGGGGUAAAUAGGAAGUUAGAGUUAUGGAGACAAACCUUGGAAUCAAAAGGGUUUAGGCUUAGUAGAACUAAAACCGAGUACAUGAUGUGCGGUUUCAGUACUACUAGCUGUGAGGAGGAGAAGGUUAGCCUUGAUGGCCAGGUGGUACCUCGGAAGGACACCUUUCGGUAUUUGGGGUCAAUGUUGCAGGAGGAUGGGGGUAUUGAUGAAGAGGUGAACCAUCGAAUCAAAGCCGGAUGGAUGAAGUGGCGCCAAGCUUCUGGCAUUCUCUGUGACAAGAGAGUGCCACAAAAGCUAAAAGGCAAGUUCUACAGGACGGCGGUUCGACCCGCAAUGUUGUAUGGCGCGGAGUGUUGGCCGACUAAAAGGCGACAUGUUCAACAGUUAGGUGUGGCGGAGAUGCGUAUGUUGAGAUGGAUGUGUGGCCACACGAGGAAGGAUCGAGUCCGGAAUGAUGAUAUACGAGAUAGAGUUGGGGUAGCACCAAUUGAGGAGAAGCUUGUCCAACAUCGUUUGAGAUGGUUUGGGCAUAUUCAGCGCAGGCCUCCAGAAGCUCCAGUGCAUAGCGGACGGCUAAAGCGUGCGGAGAAUGUCAAGAGAGGGCGGGGUCGACCGAUUUUGACAUGGGAGGAGUCCGUUAAGAGAGACCUGAAGUAUUGG
rnacentral:rRNA from 1 species